rnacentral:rRNA from 1 species
GACGAACGCUGGCGGCGUGCUUAACACAUGCAAGUCGAGCGGUAAGGCCCUUUCGGGGGUACGACGAGCGGCGAACGGGUGAGUAACACGUGGGUGACCUGCCCUUAGCUCUGGGAUAAGCCUGGGAAACUGGGUCUAAUACCGGAUAUGACUCCAUGACGCAUGUUGUGGGGUGGAAAGCCUUGUGCGGCUAGGGAUGGGCCCGCGGCCUAUCAGCUUGUUGGUGGGGUGAUGGCCUACCAAGGCGACGACGGGUAGCCGGCCUGAGAGGGCGACCGGCCACACUGGGACUGAGACACGGCCCAGACUCCUACGGGAGGCAGCAGUGGGGAAUCUUGCGCAAUGGGCGAAAGCCUGACGCAGCGACGCCGCGUGGGGAUGACGGCCUCGGUUGUAA